rnacentral:rRNA from 1 species
UACGUAGGUCCCGAGCGUUGUCCGGAUUUAUUGGGCGUAAAGCGAGCGCAGGUGGUUUAUUAAGUCUGGUGUAAAAGGCAGUGGCUCAGCCAUUGUAUGCAUUGGAAACUGGUAGACUUGAGUGCAGGAGAGGAGAAUGGAAUUCCAUGUGUAGCGGUGAAAUGCGUAGAUAUAUGGAGGAACACCGGUGGCGAAAGCGGCUCUCUGGCCUGUAACUGACACUGAGGCUCGAAAGCGUGGGGAGCAAACAGG